GGUUUUCGGAUUGUAAAACUCUGUCCGCAGGGAAGAAGCAAGUGACGGUACCUGUGGAGGAAGCCCCGGCUAACUACGUGCCAGCAGCCGCGGUAAAACGUAGGGGGCAAGCGUUGUCCGGAAUUACUGGGCGUAAAGGGCGAGUAGGCGGCAAGGCAAGUCAGUCGUGAAAUCCACCGGCUCAACUGGUGGCCUGCGAUUGAAACUGCCUAGCUUGAGUACAGAAGAGGGGAGUGGAAUUCCCAGUGUAGCGGUNAAAUGCGUAGAUAUUGGGAGGAACACCAGUGGCGAAAGCGGCUCCCUGGCCUGUAACUGACGCUGAGGCGCGAAAGCGUGGGUAGCAAACAGGAUUAGAUACCCUGGUAGUCCACGCCGUAAACGAUGGGUGCUAGGUG
rnacentral:rRNA from 1 species